UACGGAGGGGGCUAGCGUUGUUCGGAAUUACUGGGCGUAAAGCGCACGUAGGCGGAUCAGUCAGUCAGGGGUGAAAUCCCGGGGCUCAACCCCGGAACUGCCUUUGAUACUGCUGGUCUGGAGGUCGAGAGAGGUGAGUGGAAUUCCGAGUGUAGAGGUGAAAUUCGUAGAUAUUCGGAGGAACACCAGUGGCGAAGGCGGCUCACUGGAUCGGUACUGACGCUGAGGUGCGAAAGCGUGGGGAGCAAACAGG
rnacentral:rRNA from 1 species